GUGACUCAUCCCCUGCGCGCACAGGACUGCUUCCUCUCCCCCGACACAUCCUCAGGGCUGAGGACCACGCCACAGCGCCUGCAGCUGUAAGAGGGCAUCUAAGCUAGCGUGUACCCAGCAUGCAGGAAAGGUGGAAAGCCCAGCCGCUUCCCAAGGGACUGCCAGCUGAAAAGGAUGCCGGAUUUCUACUAUUUAGGUGCACGCUGGAUAUCUGAAUUGUUAUCCCGGCCAGAGUGACAGCCUCUCCUUGUUGGGGCUGCUGGGACAACUCACCAUCCCCACCCCCACCUCCCCUGACUGCUACUAUGUGAGCAGCUGCUGCCAGAGCUGGGACCGGAACCUCUCUGCUAAAGGCGCUCUGAGCAAGUGCCAUACGUAUGUUACCACGUAGUUAAGAAUUUUCUCCUCAAAGUAAUCAGAGAAGCUGAAAAAGCUUUACGGAAAGAGGUCUCCUGGAGAAAGUGGGCAGCUCUCGGGGCACUCUAUGGUAGAAACAAAUAUUUCUCCCUGGGUCUGGGGGAGGGCUCUCCAGAGGCAGACUGCGCACAGGUGCAGCGUGUAAAUGUGUGACAGCGACACUCAUGGACACACAAGGGCACACAGUGCCAGAUGGAGGGCUCCAUGAGAAAGGGGGUCUGCCUUUGACUGCGAGAAAAAGAGCAAUUGCAUCUGGGAUCUGGGGGAAUGGGAAGGGCAGCUGGUCACAGACCACCGAGAACAGAUGAUACAGAACAAAACCAACCCCCAGUCUGUGACCACUUCCAAAAGUCCCUUCUCCAGGAAGCACUGGGAAGUCUCAAGCAAGCAGCUCUGGUCCCUCUGGUUCUUAGCAAAACAUUAGGAUGACCUCAGCUUUCACCAAAUGUCCAAACUCAACACCCCCAUGGUGAGAGCUCCUGCCAUUCUGAGCCUCUGAGUGUGGUGCCUUAAGAAACAGGGUACUGUCCUGGUGGAACGCCUGCCAGAAACACUUGCCCUGAAUCCAGUCAUGAGGAAAGCCUCUGACAGAUCCGGGCUGUAAGACAUCCUGCAAGGUAACUGGCCUGGACUUCUCAAGAGUCAGUCUUCAAAAUCAAAGAAAGGCUGGGGUGGGGCUGGGGGUGGCUAUUCUAGAUUACAAGUGACUAAGAAGCAUUUAACCAAGUGCAGUGAAUCAACCUUGAGUGGAUGUUGGAAUUUUUUUUUUUUUGAGACAGAGUUUCACUCUUGUUGCUCAGGCUGGAGUGCAAUGGCAUAAUCUCGGCUCACUGCAACCUCCGUCUCCCGGGUUCAAGUGAUUCUCCUGCCUCAGCCUCCUGAGUAGCUGGGAUUACAGGCAUGCACCAGCAUGCCUGGCUAAUUUUGUAUUUUUAGUAGAGAUGGGGUUUCUCCAUUUUGGUCUGGCUGGUCUCGAACUCCCGACCUCAGGUAAUCCACCCAACUCAGCCUCCCAAAGUGCUAGGAUUACAGUCGUGAGCCACUGAGCUGGGCCGGAUGUUGAAUUUUAAAGAAUCUCUAACAGAAAAAUAUGAGACAAUUGGGGAAAUUUAGAUAGGCACUAAGUGAUGAGUUUUCAGAUGCGCAGAUGAUAUGAGGUUAUUGAUAAUGUCUGCAGGUCGGAUAACAAGCCUGUGGUUAUGUAAGACAUCACCUUUAUUGUUAGGAAAUGCAUGCUGAAGCACUUACAGGGAACUUUCAUGAUGUCCGUAAUUUAUGUAACCUACCUUCAAAUGGCUCAAUAGAGACGGUAAAAAGCAAAAUAUUACUACUCGGUAAAUUUAGUAUUGUACUUUCUUGUAAACUUUUCUGUAAGUUUUAAAGUACUCACAUUUAAAAAUGAGGAAAAUGAAAUAAAUGUUCCUGAAAAGA